rnacentral:rRNA from 1 species
UCCAGAAGUACCUGAGCCAACUCGCAAGAGAGGCAGGGUCCCAAGGAGUGACCGGUAACUGGGGUGAAGUCGUAACAAGGUAGCCGUAGGUGAACCUGCAGAAAGAUCA